rnacentral:lncRNA from 1 species
UGAAGGAUUUGAUUUCAAUGUUUCAAGGUUUAAGAGGACUUGGCUUCACGCAUUUUUGAAUUCAUAUAUAUUCGUUGGCUCCCUCUAAUUGGCCAGCUAGCGCGCGCUUUUGAUUUCUUAUUUUGUUUUAUUAUUUUAUUUUUUUGGAUGCGCCUCUGAAUCACCAAAGGGUACUUGGCCAAGUGGAUGAGGGGGUUGACCCCCCAUGACCCCAAGGUCAGGGGUUCAACCCCCAGAGCACGCAUUUGUUCCAGUUUUGUUACUUUUCUUUUUGUUUGAUUUAUUUUUACCCCAUUUAUUUCCCAUUUUCAUUUUAUUUUCCCCCCACUUAUUUUUUACUUUGCUGAUAAUAUUCCCAAUACAAACGCAUAUUGUUUUUAUCUCUAAUAUUUUAUUAUGCUUUAUUUUAUUUCAUUUGAGUAACUUUUUAUGGAUUUAUGAGGCCUUGAACAUGAGUAGGU